GCAGUUUUUAGACGUUCGCUUUAUUCGUUAUUAACAAAAAGCCUGACAAAUUCCGCUUCAAAUAUAAGAAAAAGAUGCAGAAAAAAUAAGACAUGGGCUGUAGGAUGCAACACGUGCUUUUGUAAUACCGAUGGAUAUACUUCAUCCUGUGGAAUGACGAAUUUUACCUGCAAAUUCGCACCCCUUUACAAGGUUCAUUACAACUAAAUCACUGUUUUUAAUUAUACUUAAAAAAGUAUUAUAACAUGUUAUAAUUAAAAUAAAGUGUUUGCCGGUCUGA